rnacentral:rRNA from 1 species
GUGCCAGCAGCCGCGGUAAUACGUAGGGUGCGAGCGUUAAUCGGAAUUACUGGGCGUAAAGCGUGCGCAGGCGGCUUUGCAAGACAGAGGUGAAAUCCCCGGGCUCAACCUGGGAACUGCCUUUGUGACUGCAAGGCUAGAGUACGGCAGAGGGGGAUGGAAUUCCGCGUGUAGCAGUGAAAUGCGUAGAUAUGCGGAGGAACACCGAUGGCGAAGGCAAUCCCCUGGGCCUGUACUGACGCUCAUGCACGAAAGCGUGGGGAGCAAACAGGAUUAG